rnacentral:rRNA from 1 species
UACGAAGGGUGCAAGCGUUACUCGGAAUUACUGGGCGUAAAGCGUGCGUAGGUGGUUCGUUAAGACAGGUGUGAAAUCCCCGGGCUCAACCUGGGAAUGGCGCUUGUAACUGGCAGGCUAGAGUGUGUCAGAGGGAGGUAGAAUUCCACGUGUAGCAGUGAAAUGCGUAGAGAUGUGGAGGAAUACCGAUGGCGAAGGCAGCCUCCUGGGAUAACACUGACGCUCAGGCACGAAAGCGUGGGGAGCAAACAGG